rnacentral:rRNA from 1 species
AUUGAACGCUGGCGGCGUGCCUAAUACAUGCAAGUAGAACGAGUUGCGAACGGGUGAGUAACGCGUGGUAACCUGCCUCAUAGCGGGGGAUAACUAUUGGAAACGAUAGCUAAUACCGCAUACUGUGAGAUGGACCUGCGGUGUAGUAGCUAGUUGGUGAGGUAAAGGAUCACCAAGGCGACGAUACAGAGCCGACCUGAGAGGGUUACCAGCCACACUGGAACUGAGACACGGUCCAGACUCCUACGGGAGGCAGCAGUGGGGAAUAUUGCACAAUGGGCGCAAGCCUGAUGCAGCCAUGCCGCGUGUAUGAAGAAGGCCUUCGGGUUGUAAAGUACUUUCAGCGAGGAGGCGUUACUCGCAGAAGAAGCACCGGCUAACUCCGUGCCAGCAGCCGCGGUAAUUC